GCGGUGGAGCAUGUGGUCUAAUUCGAUGCAACGCGAAGAACCUUACCUGGUCUUGACAUCCACGGAAGUUUUCAGAGAUGAGAAUGUGCCUUCGGGAACCGUGAGACAGGUGCUGCAUGGCUGUCGUCAGCUCGUGUUGUGAAAUGUUGGGUUAAGUCCCGCAACGAGCGCAACCCUUAUCCUUUGUUGCCAGCGGUCCGGCCGGGAACUCAAAGGAGACUGCCAGUGAUAAACUGGAGGAAGGUGGGAUGACGUCAAGUCAUCAUGGCCCUUACGACCAGGGCUACACACGUGCUACAAUGGCGCAUACAAAGAGAAGCGACCUCGCGAGAGCAAGCGGACCUCAUAAAGUGCGUCGUAGUCCGGAUUGGAGUCUGCAACUCGACUCCAUGAAGUCGGAAUCGCUAGUAAUCGUGGAUCAGAAUGCCACGGUGAAUACGUUCCCGGGCCUU
rnacentral:rRNA from 1 species